rnacentral:tRNA from 1 species
CGGCCCGUAGCUCAAUUGGCAGAGCAACCGGCUCUUAACCGGUAGAUUGCAAGUUCGAUUCUUGCCGGGCCGACCA